AUGGAAGAGAAGAAGCCCGGAGGCGACGGAGAGAACAGCAUGGAGCUGCCUCCGAUUAGUGCAUCCCUUGGUGCCAUGGGUUCCAUUUCGGGAAAGCUGGACGCGCUCCAGGAUACAGAGCACAAGGAUGAGAUCAGGAAGCUCAGGUCGCGGCUGCUGGCGCUCUCCAAGGCACGGGAUCCCCCAGUAACAGCGAGGAUCUGGAUGAAGGAUGUACGCGAACUAUCCUAUGACAUGGACAACUUUGUCGACACCGACGCAGAAUGGAUCCACAAGAUGUCAGGAUUCAAGGCUCGAGCCAAGGACGCCAAUGGACGGUACGACAGGUACAACCUCGAGAGCGUCCCCAGCCGUAUGAACAUCGCUACGAUUCCAAUGGUGGACGCCGGCCGGAAGACAGAUAUGGUCGUCGGCCUUGAUGGCGAGGGCGGCGCCUUCAAGACGAUCUGCAACACUCUGGCCGACGGGGAUGAGCAGCUCAAGGUGCUAUCCGUUGUCGGCGUAGGAGGAAUCGGGAAGACCACGCUUGCCAAACAGCUAUGGCGUGAGCACAAGCUCGGGGACCACUUCCGCUGCCGGGCUUUUGUGCGGACGGCCAAGAAACCUGACAUGAGGAGGGUCCUCAGAAGCAUACUCGCUCAAGUUCGUCCGGACCAACCACCCGACGCCAGCGAGGUGCACGACCUCAUUCACGACCUCACACAACAUCUACAGGAUAAAAGGUAUUUUAUUAUAAUCGACGACCUAUGGCAUACAUCAGUGUGGGAUGUUGCUUCCUGUGCUUUCCCGGAGGGCAAUCACGGAAGCAGGAUAAUAACAACAACAGAAGUUGAGGAUGUUGCUCUAGCAUGCUGCAGUUAUCAAUCCGAGUACAUGUUUAAGUUGGAACCCCUCAGUGACAGUCAGUCAAAAGAGUUGUUCACCAGUGCAGUAUUUGGCUCGGCAGAACGGCACUCGCGCCAGUUAGAUGAACUCUCAGAUGAUAUCCUGACAAGAUGUGCUGGUUUACCGCAGGCAAUUAUUAGCAUAUCCAGUGUCCUAGCAAGCCAUGCGGAAGCAAACACAGCGGAGAGCUGGGAGCAAAUGCAACGCAAUUUGCCAGCAAAUACAGCUUCUGAGGAGAUACUGAAACAAGUGCUGAAUUUUUGCUACAAUAGUCUUCCCAGUUGCCUUCAGACAUGUCUAUUGUAUCUUAGUAUAUACCCAGAGAACUAUAUAAUCUUGAAGGAAGAUAUAAUGAAGCAAUGGGUGGCUGAAGGGUUUGUUUGUGCACCAACAGAGAAAGAGAAAAUGAUAGUUGCUGGGAGCUAUUUUGAUAAGCUUGUCGAUAUGGGCCUGAUCCAACAUAUAGACGUAGGGUAUAGCAACAAGGUAUUGUACUAUGCAGUGCAUCACAUGGUACAUGAUCUUAUCACAUCAAAGUCCAUAGAAGAUAAUUUUAUCACUGUGGUAGAUUAUUCGCAAAGGACAGUACGGUUUUCUAACAAGGCUAGUCGUUUGUCUCUCCAGUUUGGCAGUGCAACAUUCGCAACUACACCAGCAAGUACUGGGCUGUCACAGAUUCGGUCUCUUACUUUUAUUGGACUGAUGAGCUGCUUUCCCAUUUCUAUCUUGGAGUUUAAGCUUCUUCGAUUUCUGAACCUUCAUAUUUGGAGUGAUCAACAACCAAGCACAGGUGUAGACCUCGUGGUUAUUUGUGAAUUGCUUCUGUUGAGGUAUUUGCAGGUCAUAUGCAACGACAUUGUACAUCUUCCACGUCAGAUGCAAGGUCUGAAACUCCUGGAAACACUUGAAAUAAAUGCAAGGGUAGCAGCUAUUCCAUUGGAUAUUGUUCAUCUUCGGAGCUUGUUGCAUCUCCGUCUCGGAGGUGGGACUGAACUACCUGAUGUUACUGGUACUCUCACUAAUGUCUCCCUGAAUCCUCCUAGUGCUGCCAUUUUGUUGGAUGAGUCGAACAGUCCUCCGGAUUCAGUGAAGACAAUCGAGUUGUUGCCGCCCAUUUGUAGAGUCCCCAAGUGGACCGGAUGGCUUACCAAACUCUGCAUUCUGAAAGUUGUGGUCAGAGAACUGCUAAUGGAUGACACCGGUAAACUGCAAGGAUUGCCAUCCCUCACUGUUUUGUCGUUGUACGUCAAGCAACGAACUACAGAAAAAAUCAUCUUUGUAACAGGAGCAUUCGCCGCUCUCGAAUAUUUUGAGUUCAGGUGUGGUGUAUUACACCACCUGGCCUUUAAGGAAGGAGCAAUGCCCAAGCUUCGGAAGGUUAAGCUAGGUUUCAAUGCUCAUAGAGGAGAAUGGUAUGGUCGAUUGCUUGUGGGCAUUGAACACCUGUCAACCGUCAAGGAGAUUGUUGGAAUAAUUGGAUCAACUGCCGGUGCCGAGGAAAAGGACAUGGAAGCUGCGGAGUCUGCAUUCAAGGACGCCAUUUGCAAGCAUCAUGGUAAGAUCAGCUUAAAAAGGGGAGAUGUUGUUGAGGAAGAGCAGUAUGGUCCUUUGCUUGUGGGCAUUGAGCACCUGUCAAACGUCCAGAAGAUUGCUGGAAAAAUUGGGUCAACAGCCAAAAAGCAGCAGGACUUGAUAGCUGCAGAGUUUGCAUUCAAAGACACCAUUGGCAAGCAUCAUAGUGACGCCAGCUUAAAAAGAGGAGAUAUUGUUGAGGAAGAGUAUGAUGGUCCACCAGAAAAUCAGCAUUCAGUCUUCCAGAAUAAGCUUAUGAACUUUAUUGAAGAAAAGAAUAAGCUUAUGACAGUCUCAGUGAUGGGGUGGUUCCUGUCACCUCACAUCACCGAGCUUAUGAAGGUUGCACAGGACUGUGCAGCCACCAAUUGCAUGCUAUACCGGGGAAGCAUGGAGAAGCUGGCGAAACUGGUGCAAGCUCUGAAGGACAUCAAGCGCCUCCUAGGCCCAGCCAGCACGGCCAUCGUCAACAACCAAGCCAAGCUCGACCAACUAUGGCAGCUCAAAAACGACAUUCAUGAGGUUGAGGAGAUCCUGGACUUAUUUCAGCUGGAGAUCAAUGACGUCCAGUUAACUGGUAAUUACAAUUUGAAGCAUCUGGACAGCAAAAAAGUCCGGCUGGUGAAAGUGCUCAAGAGUGUAGGCGAGACUCGGGACAGGGCGAGGGAACUCCAACACGGUGCAGUUCCUUCCAUCUUGCCACGAGCCGAAACCGGCCCGAACCCGGUGAGGGACGACAGGAGCUUCUUCGGGUAUCAGGACGAGUAUGCCCAGCUGGCCUCCAUGUUGCAGAAGCAGCCGGAUGGCAGCAAGGCGGACAACAAGAUGCAUCGGAUUAUCGCCAUCGUCGGCCAUGCCGGGAUGGGGAAGACAGAGCUUGCUCGCCAGGUAUUUCGGGGCGCCAAAGGCAAGUUUGACCUUUGCAUAUGGGUGCAUGCCUACCGCAAGAACACUGAAUACGACCUCCUGAAAGAGAUCUGGAAGUAUGUUGUUGGUCACAAAGCGGUCGGUGAGAUGGAAGUCAGGCAGCUCCAGAUUGAACUCAAGCAGCUCCUGGCGUCAAAGAGGUGCCUUCUGGUGCUCGACGAUGUAUGGAACCAUGAGUUGGCGACCAGCGAGGUGCAUAGGAAGCAUGCAUUGGUGGCUCUGGACUCGUUUAUGGGCUUCGCCGAAGAUGGAAGUAGAGUCGUGUUGACUACUCGAGCCAAGAUUUGCUCGGCAACGUUCAGAGCAGAUGCAAGCAUCAUCUUAGAUGGGAUCAAACCCAAGGAGAUCACACUUCUGCUCGACAACAUUGUAAAGCUUAGGACUAAUGGUAUCCAGGAGCUGCUAAACAAACAGGUGCCCAAGCUCAAGGGGUCUCCAUUGGCAGCCGUAGAGAUCGGUCACGAGUUGAGGAAACAAGCCACAAGUGACAAGAUGUGCAACAUCUUACACAACAUUGAACAUCAUCUGGGCAGUGUAUUAGAGGGACAUUUGUUCACGUAUCGCCAUCUGCCACCGCACCUGCAGCGUUGCUUUGAGUUCUGCAGCAUAUUCCCAUACAAUUGGAGGUUUGAGCCUGAGAAGUUAACCAAGAUGUGGAUAGCUCUUGGUUUCGUCGAGGACACCCAACAAGGUCCGUGCAUGGAAGAUGUCGCCAGAGGCUACUUCCAUGAUCUGGUUGAUCGUUCAUUGUUCCAAGAAGAAGGUGAGGCACUAGGAAUAGGGACAACUUAUGUGAUCCAUGAGCAGAUCCAUUGGAUGAUACGCAUGGCCUCCACCAAGAACUGCAUCAGCAUCUCUAGCACCGGAUGCCAUAGCACAACACCGAGAAGAAUUCCUGUGACAGUUCGCCACUUGUCUGUCUUGAGCGGCUGCCUCGAUCAGCUCAAGGCAUAUCCUAGUUCGGUGCUCAACAAUAUGCGGACUCUGGUUGUCCUAAAGAAUGACGAUGAUGAUUCGACGACGUCAACUUUUGACAAAGGCAUACUCAACCUUUUCAAGGGUGUGAGAGUACUCGACCUGACAGCAACAGACCUGACACAUCUGCCAGGAACUAUCCACAAGCUGAAACAUGUCCGGUACCUCGGUCUUCCGAGCACCAUCAGGAAUCUCUGUGAUGAGGUCACCGGGUUAUUGUUUCUCCAGACCUUCAGCCUUGCUGGGAAGAAGCGGAAUACCUGUCGGCUUCACAGGUUUCCAAAACAUAUGAACAGACUCGUCAACAUGCGACACCUUGACAUCGACAUGGAGUCCAUCGCCAACAUCAGCGGCAUUGGGAGGAUGGCUAAACUGCAAGGGCCCAUCGAGUUCAAGGCCAUCAGGGCGUCAGAGAAAGAAGGGCAUGCCGUGUCAGAGUUGGAAGGGAUGAACUCUCUGGGAGAGACGCUGAGCAUAAAGGGCCUCGAUGCAGUCGAUAGCAAGGAGGAAGCCAUGAAGGCUCAACUCGAGAACAAAAGUGCGGUCAAGGUGCUCAAGCUUGAAUGGGGGCCACCAGAUCCGCGGCAACUUAACAGAGGACCAGCUGCUUUUGACACCGCCACGGCCGUCCUCGAAGGCCUGCAGCCUCACCAUGACCUCCAUGAACUGCGAAUCACGAGGUACCCUGGGGCGACGUCGCCGACCUGGCUGGGUGUGACGAUGGAGAAGCUGGUGUGCCUGUACCUCAGGAACUGCACGAGACUUCAGGCCCUGCCUGCUAUCGGCGGCCUUCCCUGCCUGGAGCUUCUGGUUGUCAAGGAGCUGCCCUGCGUCAAGAGCAUCGACGGCGGCUUCUGCCGCGUUGGCACGUUCCCAGCGCUGAAGAAGGUGGUGCUGGAUGACAUGCCAAGACUGAUGGCGUGGAGUGACAUGCCAGAACUGUCGUUCCCUCGGCUGAGGGAGGUGAGCAUCAUCGACUGCCCGCGGCUGUCCUCCCUGUCGGGCCUUGAGCGCUGCACAGGUCCCAUCGACCUGCGCGUCAAGGGAUCGCCAAACAUCACACCGGGGAUCCUGCCUGCGAUGUUCAUUACUGGCGCCUCUAAAUGGAAAUUCCACUAG
rnacentral:rRNA from 1 species